rnacentral:lncRNA from 1 species
CCUGGGUCUGUGACAAAUGCGCUAGUAAAUUUUCGAUAACUUAAUAUACAUCCCCCACACACUCAAGGCAGCUUGGGUCACAGCAAUAACCACUGAACACUCUCAUCCCAAUCGCUAACAUCCUGAACCCAAUGAUAUCCCUUUGCAUUUCCAGUUUUGGGGAAAACAGACACAGCCCUCCCUGCCCAGUGGGUGGGGGAUGGUGGCACCUCUGAGCCAUGCUGGUCCCAGGACCCCCGGACUCGGACUCGCUCUCUCUUCUGCCCUGCCUAGUUCCCUUUUUCUGGGGAGGGGUGGUGCUGUCUUGCUCAGGCAGUGGUGGGGGGAGCCUUGGGCCCCUGGGUAGGCAGAAGGAGCUGUGUAAAUGUAUCUCUAUGGAGUGGGCAGUGGAGGGGACCAUACUUGGGGAGGGUGUGGCUCUGACCGGGGGUGGGGGUAAGUCCAGUUGUGUGUGGGGAGCUUGGAAAAUGCUGUAUCCUCUGCUGUCCUUGGGUUGAUGUGGUACUUGGGGAUGGAAGUGUAGAUCUCUCAGGAGGGCCUGAGGCCCAUCCCACCCUACCCCAAACUCCACUUAGACCUGGGACACAUUCAACUCAAGAGUCAGGAACCAGCCCACCCUCCACACAGUCAGCCCCUGAAAAUAUCAAGCAUCCUUCUUCCUAAGGGAGAGGCUCCAGGUCUGAGGGCCACACCCCUCCAAUAUCCCUCUGGUUCCCCACACGCCAUCCAGUGGGCGUCACAGCCCAGGAGGCCCCGAGCCUGCGUGCCCGCUUCCUCCAAAUGAGGGGUGGGGAAGGGGUGGAGAGGAGAGGGAAAUGGAGCCCACAGGACUCCUUCCUAGAACCUACCUAGACUCUCCUCCACUCGGCUCCACCUUCAGUCCCACCACGCACCCUCCCUCCCUGCACAGGCUGUGGGGGCGGGCAGUGGGGUCCACAUGGCCAAUCAUUAACCGGCCCUCACACACUCACACUCACACUCACAGCCACACUCACACACUCUCCCUCCGUAGCUGCGCGCACUUCGCCCACUCUCCGGACCCUGCACUAGCAGCCCUGGCCCGGAGCGCACGAGGACUGCGCAGCCGGACCCCUGCAGGUCCCCAAACCAGGGCCCCAGUCCACCCGCCCGUCCCCGCGGCCAGCGCCACGAAUGUACGGCCCGCCCCACACAGCGCCCCGCACCCCCGCCGGACUUCGGCCCCGCCGCGCUCCCGCCCCGCCGCCGAGGCUUCCCCUGGGUUCGCGUCCCCACCGCCCCCGCCGCCCCCGCCUUCGCGCCUGUUUUCGUUUGCUUUUCCGUGCUGCUGGCUGGCGGCCUCUGGGUCCCUGGCCCCGGGGCGGGGGCGGGCUGGAGUGGGGCUCCCUUCAGUGCUGCCAGGCUGGGGUGCGGAUGGGGGCGGGGUGAGGCGUUCAGCUAGGUCUCCAGGCUCGGAGGGCCCCGUCGCCCCACCCCUGACUCCCGUUACCUCACAGCCCGUCGAGUUGCCCCCUACCCCCGCCCCAAUAAUUGGCCUUGCAAUUGGAUGCCAAAGAGCCCAGAGUUGAGGGGGAGCAGAGCUUUGAGCCCAGGUCUCUCAGAGCAACCCAACAGCCCCCUUUUUGCCCACGCCCCAGUCCGCGUCCCCUGCCCCAUCCCACCACUGAGGGCCCUGGGGGUCCCCAAACAUGCCCCCCCAUUUCCAGCUCUUCCCACACCCCCACCCCCGAAAAUAAAACUCAGGGACCAACAUCUGCUUCCUUUGCACUUGCUCCGUCGACCCCGCCCCCCGCUCGGAGGGGCUUCCGUGGGGGAGGGAACGGGGCUCCGGGCCCUCAGAGUUCUCAGUGUCUAGCGAGGAGAGGGGCUGGCCCCUGCCCCCCGAGAACUGGGACUGGUGGGAGAGAGAAACUCAGCACCGGGGCCUAGCUGAGCCCCUUCCUGCGUCCGCAGACGCUUUCUAAUUGCGGGGGUUGGGGCGGAGUGGGGGAGGGAUAGGAAGAGGAUUAGCGAGAGGACCCUCGCGGAGGUCCUGAGUCCCAGUCGGUUUAUUCCUGAGCCUUCCCCUCCCAUCGUAAGUCCUUUCCUCGACCCUCCCUUUUGUACUGCAAUAAUACUGUAUUAUACGCUUGCACUAUUCCCCGACCCUGGCCAGCGGAAGCAUGCACGAAAAACUCAAAACCACACACUCACACGCACACACACACACGCACACGAAGAUGGGACGCUUUUUUUCUUCCUCUCUCUCUCCGGGGUGCGUCCUCCUUAGUGUACAUAGCGGCGUCGGGGGGUGGCCCCAGGCCCGGGUAGAAAAGCAUGCACUGAGACCCCCGCCCCUAGACUGCGAGUACUGUACAAAUCCAACACUUGAAACCGACACGCACACGCGCGGCGCCGCCACGGGGUGGGACACGGACACGCACCCACGCGCACACGGCCGCGCACGGGCGGGGAGGGGGCGCCCGUCACGCGUCGCUGUGCGAGGGAUCUUGUGCCUUUUUAAGUCCCUGUAUGUUAAUGCAGACAAUCCGGAGAGCUUGUGUACUACCAAAUCCUGAUUAAAGACGCCUUCCA